AGAGUUUGAUCCUGGCUCAGAACGAACGCUGGCGGCGUGCUUAACACAUGCAAGUCGAACGGGGUUAAAUUUGUAGCAAUACAGAUAUAACUUAGUGGCGGACGGGUGAGUAACACGUAGGUAACCAACCCUAAAGCGGGGGACAACCCAGGGAAACUUGGGCUAAUACCACAUAAGACCACGGACUGGGAGGUCUGUGGUAAAAGGAGCAAUCCACUUUAGGAUGGGCCUGCGGCCUAUCAGGUAGUUGGCGGGGUAAAGGCCCACCAAGCCUAAGACGGGUAGCCGGACUGAGAGGUUGAACGGCCACACUGGAACUGAGAUAUGGUCCAGACUCCUACGGGAGGCAGCAGUGGGGAAUUUUGCGCAAUGGGCGAAAGCCUGACGCAGCGACGCCGCGUGGAGGAUGAAGGUUUUCGGAUUGUAAACUCCUUUUGUCGGGGAAGAUAAUGACGGUACCCGAUGAAUAAGCCACGGCUAACUCUGUGCCAGCAGCCGCGGUAAGACAGAGGUGGCAAGCGUUGUUCGGAAUUACUGGGCUUAAAGGGCGCGUAGGUGGUGGCAUAAGUCCGAGGUGGAAGGCUAAGGCUUAACCUUAGAAUUGCCUUGGAAACUGUAUCACUUGAGUAAGCGAGGGGAUGGC
rnacentral:rRNA from 1 species